GCACCGAGCCCAGCAGGUUUGCACAAGGACCAUGGGCGCCGCGCUGGGCACAGGCACGCGGCUGGCUCUCUGGCCGGGCCGGGCCUGCGGCGCCCUCCCGCGCUGGACACCCUCCGCGUCUGCCCGAGGCUGCCACUCCAAGUCCGGCUCGGCGCGCCCUGUGCCCCUGAAGAAGCGUGGAUACGAUGUCACCAGGAACCCUCAUCUCAACAAGGGGAUGGCCUUUACACUUGAAGAAAGGCUGCAGCUUGGAAUCCACGGCCUAAUCCCCCCCUGCUUUCUGAGCCAGGACGUCCAGCUCCUCCGGAUCAUGAGAUAUUACGAGCGGCAGCAGAGUGACCUGGACAAGUACAUCAUUCUCAUGACACUCCAAGACCGGAAUGAGAAGCUUUUCUACCGAGUGCUGACCUCAGAUGUGGAGAAGUUCAUGCCGAUCGUGUACACACCCACAGUGGGGCUGGCCUGUCAGCACUAUGGCCUGACCUUCCGCAGACCCCGUGGACUGUUCAUCACCAUUCAUGACAAGGGCCACCUUGCAACAAUGCUGAACUCUUGGCCAGAAGACAAUAUUAAGGCCGUGGUGGUGACUGAUGGGGAGCGCAUCCUGGGCCUGGGAGACCUGGGCUGCUAUGGCAUGGGCAUCCCUGUGGGCAAGCUGGCCCUGUACACAGCGUGCGGAGGUGUGAACCCACAACAGUGCCUCCCUGUGCUGCUGGAUGUCGGCACCAACAAUGAGGAGCUGCUCAGAGACCCUCUGUACAUCGGCCUGAAACACCAGCGUGUGCGCGGGAAGGCGUAUGAUGACUUGCUGGACGAAUUCAUGCAGGCUGUGACAGACAAGUUUGGAAUAAAUUGCCUCAUCCAGUUUGAAGACUUUGCCAAUGCCAAUGCUUUCCGCCUGCUCAACAAAUACCGUAACAAGUACUGCAUGUUCAAUGAUGACAUCCAAGGCACAGCCUCCGUUGCUGUGGCAGGGAUCCUGGCUGCUCUGCGAAUCACCAAGAACAAGCUCUCCAAUCACGUGUUUGUUUUCCAAGGUGCAGGCGAGGCAGCCAUGGGCAUUGCCCACCUCCUUGUCAUGGCCCUAGAGAAAGAAGGUGUACCGAAGGCAGAGGCCACAAGAAAGAUCUGGAUGGUGGACUCUAAGGGGCUCAUUGUCAAGGGGAGGAGCCACCUGAACCAUGAAAAGGAAAUGUUUGCCCAAGACCAUCCUGAAGUGAACUCCCUGGAGGAGGUGGUGAGGCUGGUGAAGCCCACAGCCAUCAUAGGUGUUGCCGCCAUCGCAGGAGCCUUCACGGAGCAGAUUCUGAGGGACAUGGCCUCCUUCCACGAGCGCCCUAUCAUCUUUGCCCUGAGCAACCCCACCAGCAAGGCCGAGUGCACGGCUGAGAAGUGCUACCGGGUCACCGAGGGCCGAGGGAUUUUUGCCAGUGGAAGUCCUUUUAAGAGUGUGACUCUAGAAGAUGGCAAGACCUUCAUUCCUGGGCAGGGAAACAAUGCUUAUGUGUUCCCUGGGGUGGCACUGGGAGUCAUCGCUGGCGGGAUCCGGCACAUCCCAGAUGAGAUCUUCCUCCUGACAGCAGAGCAAAUUGCCCAGGAAGUCUCUGAGCAGCAUCUGUCCCAGGGGAGACUGUACCCACCACUCAGUACCAUCCGAGACGUGUCUCUGAGAAUUGCCAUCAAAGUUCUUGACUACGCGUACAAACACAACCUGGCCUCCUACUACCCAGAGCCUAAGGACAAGGAGGCUUUUGUAAGAUCCCUGGUCUACACUCCAGACUAUGACUCCUUUACACUGGACAGUUACAGUUGGCCCAAGGAAGCCAUGAAUGUUCAGACAGUCUGAUGCAGUCUCAUGGGCUGGUAUGGGGCUGGAGGAAGCCCAGCAUAACGCCCACAAUAUAAAUGGGUUCCAAAAUGGCCCAAGUGAAUCCUUGUUGCUGUGUUUUUUCUUUUAAACUUUCUGGUGUGAGAGGAGAUGCCAAGGCAUACAUGAAUAAAAGCCUUGUCUCUGAAGGCCCUGGGAGUUCAUUUUUCUGAACCCUCCUCUGAGUUCCUUCCUAAGCAUUUCUUCAUCCAUUAAUUACCAACUACUGGCCAGGCCUUGUGGGAAAUGCAGAAUUUUGCCUAGAAUCCUGCUUUACAGAGCUCAGGCUCUAGUAAAGGAAACUGGACACAACUCAUUUUGCCAUACGGGAGAAAGUGGUUAAGUUCAUGAAAGAAGAGCAGAUAAAAACUGAGGGUAGUUAGAAAAGGGAGAGGAUAUUUCCUAUGAGAACAUAAAAGAAGGCUUCAGGGAGAGCAGAGUUUGCACUGAGUCCUGAGAGGAAAAGAUGGGUAGGAGUCAUGGGGAGAUGAGGAAUGCGAGCACAGCCACUAGCCAGAAAACAUGGCUCACCCAUCAGGGAGUUCAGUCCAUGUCAGCAAUACACACCUUUCCAGACUCAGCAGUGUGUGAAGGCUGAGUAGCUGGGGGCAGCUCACUAUCUAUUCAGGAAUGGUCACUGCCCUAUGGGUUGUUGAGUCUUAGACAUUCUUUUUUGUAAAAGGAAAACCAGAGAAAUGUGGGUGGGGAGAGUCAGCCUGCCAAGGAGUGAAGAAGAAGAGAGGUGGUGACAGGAAGAGCACCACAGGGAGUUCUAGGGAAGACUUGAUUUCAUUUUCCUGGCUCUGAAACACACUCUGGCUUCCAUCCUUCACUCUCUGAAGUAGUUGAGCAACCCAAAGCUGUUUUUUAUACAGUAAUAUCAGUCCAUCCUGGGUGUUUCUUAGACCAAGUUCAGUGCUAGCCUUCAUCUCCCUCAUGAAAAGCACAACCUAUACACAGGAGUGGCGGUGGGGAGAGAGCUUGCAGCCCCCUGAAAUUAGAUACUGCUAAGAUGUUAAGACAAGGUGAGAUGACAGCUUCCAGCCUCUAAUUCCAUUGUGUAAGAAAGGAAACAAUAAAUCAUGCUUAGGGCCCUACUCCUGCUACCACCUCAGCCUCAGGAUCUCCUCUGCCCACAACGACUAGGCUCUAUACGGCCAACUCUAAAGGACAGACUAGAUGGACUACUAGACUUGCAGAAGAGUAAUUAGCAGAGGCACCACUUACCUCUUGCUCACAUCUUAUUCUUCCAAGGACUGCUUCCUCAGUGCUGGUGAUCAGCCAAGAAUAUCCUGAGAAAACAUCUUUCCUGUAUGAUUCUUGGGAUCAUAGAGAAUGAAAAACUAUUCAGAAGAAAGUUUGAAGAGUGAAGCUGGAAUCUGAGCACCAUGGAACUUUUGGCAUUAUCUUUUUACAUCAUGUCCCAUAACUUCCUCUGUACCCUUGCUACAUAUCCUUCAUAAUCAACAUAUUAGAAAAGAAAAAUGAUAGUAGAGAAAAUCAAUGAAAGGAAAAUAGGUUCUUUGAAAAGAUCAAAUAAAUUAACAAACUUUAGCUAUACUAAUUAAGACAAAAAUAAAGAAGAUACAAAUUACACUUCCUUUGUUCCAGCCACACUGAACAUCUUGCCAGCACUAAGCACAUGUGCUUUCAAGCCUAUCCUGAUAUUAUACAUGAUUGGUCUCUCCUCCUGGGAAGUCCUUCUCUUCCCUUUUUUUUUUCUAUUUACUGAUUAAAUUUUAGUUCACUGUAGCUUUCUGCCUGGAAACAGCAUUCAACCUUGUAUUUCAAAUGCAUUUGGCUCCAUAGAGUAACAAAAUUAAUAAUUAAAUUAGAAAUCAAUAAAUAGAAAAGUAUGGGAAAUUCCAAAAUAUUGGAAAACAGUACCUUUCAAAAUAACCGAUAGAUCAAAGAAGAAAUCACAAGUCAAAUUAUAUAUGUUGAAAUGAUUUUUAAAAAGCUUAUCAAAAUUAAGAUGUAGCUAAAGCAGUAUUUAGAGAGAAACUUCAUAGCUUUAAAUGCUGUCAUGGUUAAUCUUAUGGCACUACAGAGUGCCCAGAUAUUGAUCAAAUGUUAUUCUGGGUGUUUCUGGGAGGGUAUUUUUGGAUACAAUGAAUAUUUAAAUCACUAAACUGCGUAGAUUGUCCUCCGCUAAUUGCCCUCAUCCAAUUAGUUGAAGGUCUGAAUAGAAAAAACAGACUGACCCUCCCUUGAGUAAGAGAGACUUAUUCCUACCUGAUGCCCUUCUAACUGAUAUUGGCUUUUUCCUGCCUUCAGACAGGAACUACAUCAUCAUCUUUCUUAGGUCUCCAGCUUGCUGACUCACCCUAUAGAUAUACAUCUUAGAAUCUGACAGCUUCCAUAAUCAUGUGAGCCAAGCUAAGUCCUUAUAAUAAAUCAACAGAAAGAGAGAAAGAUCCUAUUGGUUCUGUUUCUCUGGAGUACCCUGACUAAUGCAAAUUCCUAUAUCAGAAGAGAAAGACAGAGAGAAAGGAAGGAAGAAAAGUCUCAAGUCAAUAAUUUAAACUUCCUCCUUAAGAAACAGGGUGGAGGGAAGCAAGCAAAAUUCAAAGCAAGCAAAUAUUAGAGCACAAAUCAAUAUACCUAUAGUAAGGAAAUUAGUAAUUAAAAAAUCUUUCCCCCAAGAAAAGCCAUGUCCAGAUGACUUCAUUGGUUGGAAUUUAUCAAAUAGGUGAAAAUGAAUACAUAUGUGUGAUGGAAUACUAUACAGCCAUGAAAAAGAAAUAAAAUCAUGUGUUUUACAGCAACAUAAAUGGAACUGGAGGCACUUAAAACUCAGAAACAGAAAGUGAAAUGCCAUAUGUUCUCAUAAGUGGAGCUAAAUAAUGUGUACACAUGAACAAAGAAUGUGGAAUCUCACUGGAGAGCUGGAAGGGUGUGGGAGGGUGGAAGGAGAGUGAGGGAUGAGAAUUUACUCAAUGGGUAUAAUGUACACUAUUUGGGUAACGAUUACACUAAAAGCCAAUACUUCACCACUAUACAAUAUAUCCAUGUGACAAAACUUCACCUGUACAUACACCUUCAAUUUAUACCAAAAAAAGACUGUGUGGUCAUAUAAAUAAAUGAAGCAGAAUUGAGAGUUCAUAAAUAAGUUUUUACAUUUAUGGUAAACUGACUUUUAGUCAAAGUUACUAAGGUAAUUCAUUGGGAGAAAGAAAGUCUUUUGAACAAUGGUGCUGAAACAACUGAAUAUCUACAUGCAAAAAAAAAAAAUGAACUUACACACCUCACACUAAACACAAAAAUUAACCUUUAGACAUCUCACACCAAACAACAAUUAACCUGAAAUGGAUCACAGACCUAAAUGUGAGAGCUAAAACUGUAAAAUUUCUAGGACAAAAAAUAGCAGAAAAUCUUUGUGACUUAGGUUGAGGUGAGUUCUGGGAUAUAACUUUAAAAGCAUGAUUCAUAAAAGGAAAAAACUGUACUUCAUCAAAAUUGAAACAUUUUGCACUUUGAAACACACUAUUGGGGACAAAAAGACAAGCAGCAGACUGGGGGGAAAUAAAUCAUAUAUCUGAUAAAGACAUUGGAUCCAGAAUAUAUAAAGAACUACUUCAACUUAUUAAGAUAACAAUUCAAAUUUUAAAAUGAGCAAAAAAAUGAACAUUUUACCAAAAAGAUGUGUGAAUGGCUAACAAGCACAUGAAAAAAGUGCUUAACAUUAUUAGUGAUAUGAAAAUUAAAACUACAAUGGGAUUACACUUCAUACUCACCAGAAUGGCUAUAAUAAAAAAAGAUGUGUUGGUAAGAAUGUGGAGAACUUUGUCUCCUAAGGACUGUUAGAUUAAGGGAGAGUUCCCUUGCCUUUUAAGUCUUCACUGUAACUCCCCAGGCUCCCAUACACAGCCCCAGUAUUCAGCAAGUGUCAUUUAAGAGAGUGGAUGUUGUGGUUGCACCACCUAGUCCUGCCUUGGGUCUGAAACACUCAUUCCUCCAGAUGCCAUUAUCAGCUCAGGGCCCACAGCUGCAUCCCUCUCUAGGAAUUGCCCUUGACUGAAGGUUAAUGCUUCACCCAAGAUUAUGCCAUCAUCCCCAGGGGAAGGCUACAGGCAAUGACUGGUAUACUCAAGAGCCCAAAGGCCUAGCUUCCUAGUGUCAAUUGAGAACAUCUCUUAAUAGCCACCCCAUCCUCAGAGCUCCCUAUGAGACUGGCUGAGGCUGCUGUUGCAACUGCUGUAUAUCACAUUCAACUUCUUAUGCCCUAUCCUGUUUCUCUUGCUCCCUCAUAGGUGUUGUUCCCUGAGAAGACUCCCCAGUAAUCCUUUGGAUGCAAAUCUCAGAUUCAGUGUCUGUUUCCUGGGGAACCCAACUUUUAACAGUUAGAGGAAACUGGCCAAAGUUCCUAAUUUUCCAAUUUGUUGCACCAGUCCCAUGUGACCACCAAAAGCUUUUCUGGGUUUCUCUUUCCCUCAGGAGAGACCCUCUUCAUGGACCAAGCUUGACCCUUAUUAGUCCAUGUCCAGAAUCAGUAAAUGUCCCUAGAAAAUAAAAUGGUCACUUACCUCAUAAGGGCUCCUCCCUUUCUGGAAUUCCCAUUCACCUAGUCUUACUGCUUUCAGAACUCUCACAUACCUUUAAACAUGAUCUUUUUAAUUUUUCCAUCUUUUUUUAGUUGUUGCAGGAAGAGUUUUAGGCUGCCAUGACCUACUACAUCCUAGCCAGAAGUGGAAGUCUCCAGAGAGAUUUUCAAAAUUACAGUUGUAUGGAUAUUAACUUUUUUCCUAACUCAACUGAAUUGUGGUGAGAGAAUGUGUUCUGUAUUAUUUAAAUAGCUUAAAAUUUGCUGAAAUUUUUUUGUAGUCAAAUAUAUGGUCAAAUUUAACAGUUCAUAUACUCUUAAAAAUAUGUAUUCUCACACUGCUGGAUGCAAUGCCCUUUGUAUGUUCAUGGAAUCAAGUUUGUUGAUUGUUUUGUGUAAAUCUAUAUCCAAAGUCUUGAUUUUUGUCUACUUGGUCUUCUUGUGAAAGAGGGAUAAUAAAAUUUCCCACUGCUCUGGUAAA